rnacentral:rRNA from 1 species
UACGCAGGAUGCAAAUGCUAUCCGGAUUCAUUGGCUUUAAAGGGUGCGUAUUCGGCAUAAUAAGACAGCGGUGAAAGCCUGCGACUCAACCGGAGAAUUGCCAUUGAUACUGUGAUUCUUGACUUCAGGUGAGCGUGCGUGUAAUGUGAAAUGUAGCGGAGAAGUGCAUACAUAUUACGCAGAGCACCAGUUGCGAAGGCGGCUCACUAACCUGCCUCUGACUCUGAGGCACGAAAGCGUGGGGAGCAAACAGGAUUAGAUCCCCUGGUAGUCCACGCUGUAGACGAUGAUCACUCGUUGUCGGCGAUAUACCGCCAGCGACUGAGAGAAAGCAUUAGGUGAUCCCCCUGGGGAGUACGGCGGCAUCGCUGAAACUCAAAGGAAUUGCCGGGGGUCCGCACAAGCGGAGGAACAUGUGGUUUAAUUCGAUGAUACGCGAGGAUCCUUACCUGGGCUUGAAAGGGGACCGUCCUUCCGGGAAUCCGGGAUUCUCUUCGGAGCGAUCUCCUAGGCGCUGCAUGGUUGUCGUCAGCUCGUGCCGUGAGGUGUCGGGUUAACUCCCAUAACGAGCGCAACCCUUAUUGUUAGUUCCCAGCGGGUAAUGCCGGGAACUCUAACGAAACCGCCGGUGUAAACCGAGAGGAAGGUGGGGAUGACGUCAAAUCAGCACGGUCCUUAUGUACAGGGCUACACAUGUGUUACACUGGCCGGUUCAAAGGGCAGUUUCUUGGUGUCAAGAUGGUAAUCUCAAAAUCCGGUUUCAGUUCGGAUCGAAGUGUGCUCCUCGAUUUCGUGAAGCUGGAUUUGCUAGUAAUCGCGCAUCAGCAACGGCGCGGUGAAUUCGUUCCCUGGCCU